ACUGAGGCUGAGUCCACAAACCAGUCCACAGCUGGGAGCAGCAUGAAGCCAUUCCUGGGAGGUGUUCUGGUGAUUCAGGUGAUGCUGUGGCUUCACAUGGACAAGGCUGAUGGCCAAAAGGUGGAACAGAAUCUUCAGGUCUGCAGCAUCCAGGAGGGUGAAAAUGCUUCUCUGACUUGUCACUAUACAAAUUAUUCUCCAGAGUCCAUCCAAUGGUACCGACAAGAUCCAGGGGAAGGCCUCUUCUUCUUGAUACUAGUGUGUGAAAAUGAGAGUGAAAAACAGAAAGGAAGACUGAGAGUCACCUUUGAUACCACCACCAAACAGAGUGCCUUGCAUAUCACAGCCUCCCAGCCUGCAGACUCAGCCACCUACCACUGUGCCCUGGCUCACAGCAGCAUCCUGGCAACAGCUUCCUGUACAUAAACUUGUAACUUCUUCCAGUCACAGAGCUGAUGUCUUUGGGGACUGUGCUGCCCCCAAAGACUUGCCACAGCUCGUGCAAAAUAAAAGGGAAGGGAGCUCACUUUAAAGUGACAAAGUGUGGGGGAAUGAUUCUGGAUUACCCAGGAACAGGGGAUCCUUCAUCAGUCUCAGAACUAUGAUGCUGACUGCAUGACUGUCAAAAACUUGUGAGGUUUGCAGGUCUCAAUUUCCUCAUAUGAAAACAAUGGACUUAAAUAUGUGAUUCUCAAGUAGCUCUGAGGUUCAGAAUCUAAUAUUUCUAAAACAAGCAACACCCUGAAGAAUGCCAGAGAGUGGGGAUGAAGGAUAUGCUUUUUUACCCAGUGAGAUAUUUUUGUUGGUGAGUUAUAAUUAUACACCAUAGUGGGAUUCAUUAUGUCAUAUUCAGGUAUGCAUAUAACGUAAUUUGAUCAAACUCUUUUCCCAGUACCUCCCCUUUCCUUCUCCUUCUCCUUCCCCUAAUCCACUAGUUCAACUCUACUGAUCUGCUUUCUAUUAUUAUUAUUUUAAUUAGUGCAUUAUUUAUUCACUAUUCCUUGUGGUCAAUG